UACGUAGGGCGCAAGCGUUGUCCGGAAUUAUUGGGCGUAAAGAGCUCGUAGGUGGCUGGUCGCGUCUGCCGUGAAAGCCCGCAGCUUAACUGCGGGUCUGCGGUGGAUACGGGCCGGCUAGAGGUAGGUAGGGGCAAGUGGAAUUCCUGGUGUAGCAGUGAAAUGCGUAGAUAUCAAGAGGAACACCAGUGGCGAAGGCGAGUCCCUGGACAACACCUGACGCUGAGGAGCGAAAGCAUGGGGAGCGAACAGG
rnacentral:rRNA from 1 species